rnacentral:lncRNA from 1 species
UGAAGACUGAUAGAACACACUGGCCCGAUAUUUUUGUCUGGUUGUUUAUCUGGAGAUUUUUCUACCUUUGGAGAUUGGAUGCCUCCGUUCAUUCAAUUUUGCACCUGAUUAGUUUUGUCAUUUCUCAUCCAAACCCCACAACUUAGAAGUCCCUUCUUUAUAAGUAAAGAAUCGUGUCAGAUAUAAAGAGGUUUUAAAUGACAUUUUAUUGGAAAUGAUAGGGUGCACUUAAUUUCUGUUCUUAUGGAAACCCACCCCCCACUAUUUCUGGAUUGGAAAUCUUUUCCUGCAAGAUAAAGGAAUAGUAGUUGUACAUUUCUUUGCCACUAAUUACUUUGCGAUGGACUGACUUAGGCCACUUAAACAAACUUUCAGGCACUAUCCCGUGAGAAGUGGUUGGACUGGCAUUCUCUGAUUAUUGUGAAGUAUUAGUUCUAGUAUGUUGCCUUGUGCACUUCAUAAUUGUCUCCCAAUUUCGUCACAUUUCAUUAACGAAUAUGCACGAAUAUGCUGGAAGCCCAGUCCUUUACAAUAUAGUUAUGUUGUUUCUUUGGCCUAAUAAUUUACAACUCCUACAAGUUAUGUUGUGGCACUACUUGUUUGACAUGUCUUUAUGCAUACCUUUUGAAUAUGAAAGAGCGAAGGCUAUGGUCCUCUCUUGGAAUUUUUAGUGGUCUAUAGAGUUUGAUAAGUGUCGUUGUGCCCUGGAUUUACUGAUAGAUGUGCCAAGUACAAAUUAUUAAAAUUAUAAGGCGCCUUUGGAUGUGCGUUCAAACACUUGGGGGUGGGAUUGGAUGGGAUUUUUUGCUGUCGCGAGAGAGAGGGGGGAGGGGUCGACAUGUAUCUGUGUCCAACAUGUUUGAAGUCUCACCUUCUUGGAAGUCUUUAUACUUGUUAAUUGCACCGUCAAAAAUAGAAAUGCAUGAAUCCACGACAUCAAUCCUGGUAUCAGAAUGAUAUGGUACCUAGUAUUUGGUUGAACGUUUUGAAACUUGUUUCAGGAUAUUUUUAAAAGAAGCCAUUUUUUUUCUUUGGGGUAAGUAAGCGAUUAGUUUAUGACUAUAUAUAUUUAUUACAAUAAAGCCCAAUACACUAUCAAAAAGGGCACACAAAAAGACUACUGAACAAGCUAACCGCCAAGAGGGAAAAACACAUAGCUAGCAAGAAAGAACACCCUCUAGCACAAACCCGUGAGGAAAUAGGCUUAAAUUUUACAUGUACUUAGCUUGAUAAUGAGAUUGGUAAUUGCUUUGUCUCUUGUAACCUUUAAGUGUCUAAAUCUUCUCCUUAGUCACACAAUUUGUGGCCUAGGGUCCGUGUAUGUGCGCCAAAUUUGUGAAUUGCCGAAUUUACCCCAAAUUCGGGGUUAAUUAUGAAUUACGUUAGGUCAAUUCGCGAAUUUGUUGUUUAAGUGGGCGGAUUUAUUAUUUAGAAUAAGUUAUGUACUCUCCUGUACAUAAUUAACCGCUGCUAUAAUAAAUGCUGUUACAAAAGAUUUAUUAAGACACGUUAUGACUAGGAAUUGAACACAGGACAUCACGCAUGGAACAAUAGCUCCCAAACCACUGAGCUGCUACACUUCAUAUACCUAUAAAGCUACUUUUUAUCAUUUUUGUCUUUUCCAUAAUAUUAUAGGUAUUCAAAAAUAUUGCAUAGUGCAAAUACUUAAAUCAUGCUCAUCUAAACAAAAAACUAUGGCAUGAAAAGUUUAUGAAUACACCAUUAAUUUUUUUUUUAUACUAUGAAUAUUUACCUAUAUAAAUAUAUAAAAAUAUAAAAUAGACACGCUCUCACGAUGCUUUCAACUCUAUAAAUUUUAAGAAUAGCCGCUCUCACGCUUUCCGCCCCCGCCAUGCUAAUUUGUGACUUAGAUUUUCUCCAUAUUUUUUUAAAAAAGUUUUUACGCUACGAGAAGUAGUGUUACGUAUCUACUCCACCAAUACCUCUCAACAACUUGGCAUUUGCCACACACGAAUGAAAAUAUCCAUCUGAAAGGAUUUUCGGAGGCCCUUUGAGGUUUGUACAUCGACAAAGAGUGAGCUCAAGACCAUCCUCGGAGGAGGAUGGCUUCUAUUUCCUUCUUUGGGAACUUGUUGCUCUCCCUAGGAGAAGGGUAUUUGGUACUCUCAUUUGCUUCGUCAUUACUCCUUUGUUUUCCCAACCCUCCUUUUUUUCCUCUCAGAGGGGUGUCGGCUACAUUGUCAACACAAGGAUAAGUCCAAUAUUCUUUCCUUUCACUCUCCUCUAUUGGGUAACACAAAGUAAGGACCUCAAAAAAAUUGAGGAGACUUUAGCUUUUCACUCUUUUUUUUCUCUUCAUUUGAUGAAGCAUUUGCGACCGGCUUUUUUCCUUCCCUGCUCUUAUCUGUACUCUCUUGGAUAAUUUUGGGUCUUUGGAGUGUUCAAGAUUGGCUCCGUUAAUUUGCAAGUGGUCGAGCUUUCUUGGAGAUGGAUCCGAGCUGGGCUUGAGCUUGAACCAAGCAGCAGUACUAGAGCUUGA